rfam:Eutrema salsugineum unplaced genomic scaffold scaffold_1, whole genome shotgun sequence.
GCCCGCUUAGCUCAAAGGUUAGAGCAUCGCAUUUGAAAUGCGAUGGUCAUCGGUUCGAUUCUGAUAGCCGGAA